rnacentral:rRNA from 1 species
GUGUCAGCCGCCGCGGUAAGACAGAGGGUGCAAACGUUGCUCGGAAUCACUGGGCGUAAAGGGCGUGUGGGCGGGCAGAUAAGUCGGGCGUGAAAUCACCAGGCUCAACCUGGGAACUGCACUCGAAACUGUUUGUCUUGAGUAUCGGAGAGGAAAGCGGAAUACCUGGUGUAGAGGUGAAAUUCGUAGAUAUCAGGUGGAACACCAGUGGCGAAGGCGGCUUUCUGGACGAUAACUGACGCUGAGACGCGAAAGCGUGGGGAGCAAACAGGAUUAGAUACCCCGGUAGUCC